UCCUUCCUAGCUUAUUUAAAAGCAUUAGUUUGAAGAGCUGAAGUUACAGAGAUGUGGUGGGAA
rnacentral:tRNA from 1 species